rnacentral:rRNA from 1 species
CGGCAGCAUGAUCUAGCUUGCUAGAUUGAUGGCGAGUGGCGAACGGGUGAGUAAUACAUCGGAACGUGCCCUGUAGUGGGGGAUAACUAGUCGAAAGAUUAGCUAAUACCGCAUACGACCUGAGGGUGAAAGUGGGGGACCGCAAGGCCUCAUGCUAUAGGAGCGGCCGAUGUCUGAUUAGCUAGUUGGUGGGGUAAAGGCCCACCAAGGCGACGAUCAGUAGCUGGUCUGAGAGGACGAUCAGCCACACUGGGACUGAGACACGGCCCAGACUCCUACGGGAGGCAGCAGUGGGGAAUUUUGGACAAUGGGGGCAACCCUGAUCCAGCAAUGCCGCGUGUGUGAAGAAGGCCUUCGGGUUGUAAAGCACUUUUGUCCGGAAAGAAAUCGCACUUACUAAUAUUAGGUGUGGAUGACGGUACCGGAAGAAUAAGGACCGGCUAACUACGUGCCAGCAGCCGCGGUAAUACGUAGGGUCCAAGCGUUAAUCGGAAUUACUGGGCGUAAAGCGUGCGCAGGCGGUUGUGCAAGACCGAUGUG